UGUGAGUUUAGAGGAAGGAGAAGUCGUAACAAGGUUUCCGUAGGUGAACCUGCGGAAGGAUCAUUGUACACACAAUGCAGCAAACCAGUGAACUGUUGUUGUCCCCCGAGGGGCCUCACCCGGAGGUGGGGCCGCCGAUGGCGUGGCUCGGUCGAGAGGCCGGCCCGUGGGCGUAGCGGAUCCUCGCUGUCGGCCGGAGUGUUUCGCUUUCGUGGUUUCGAUUGUCUGAUGCUGACGCCCUUCAGGGGGAGUUGGUCUUCGGCGGUCGGGGUCGGGCACUCCCCUCCCCCUUUGUUCCCGUCUUUGGGGACCCUGGGGCCGUUUUUUCACAAGCACGUUGAUGAACAUGAAUUGAGAGACUGAGCCUGGGGCCUUUGCGUUGCCUUUGCAGGCGACGCAGCCCGAGUUGGAAACCAAAAUAACGACUCUCAGCAACGGAUAUCUUGGCUCUUGCAACGAUGAAGAACGCAGCGAAAUGCGAUACCUAGUGUGAAUUGCAGAAUUCCGCGAAUCAUCGAGUCUUUGAACGCAAGUUGCGCCCGAGGCUUGUCCCGAGGGCAUGCCUGCCUGAGCGUCACCGCACUCCCACCUGGACACUCUCCAGUGUGGAAUUGGCUGUCCGGGACCCGGCGUGAAGCUGUGGGUCGUGGUCGGCUGAAAUGUAGCGUAUCUGGAUGCAGCCGGAGAGAGAGGCCGCGAGAAGGUGAUUCGCUCUUUGCUGAGCGGAGUCUUAUUGGACAGCGUCUCUCUCUUGGGUGGUCCAGUCGGCGGCACUAACCUUGUGUCAUUGGGGAGUGCAAGUAAUGUUGCAUCUCCCCUCCCCUAUAGCUUGGACCUCAGAUCAGGCAAGAUUACCCGCUGAGUUUAAGCAUAUCACUAAGCGGAGGAAAAGAAACUAACUAGGAU
rnacentral:rRNA from 1 species